AUACGGAGGGGGUUAGCGUUGUUCGGAAUUACUGGGCGUAAAGCUCACGUAGGCGGACUGGAAAGUUGGGGGUGAAAUCCCGGGGCUCAACCCCGGAACUGCCUCCAAAACUUCCAAUCUAGAGAUCGAGAGAGGUGAGUGGAAUUCCAAGUGUAGAGGUGAAAUUAGUAGAUAUUUGGAGGAACACCAGUGGCGAAGGCGGCUCACUGGCUCGAUACUGACGCUGGGGUGCGAAAGCGUGGGGAGCAAACAGGAUUAGAAACCCUAGUAGUCC
rnacentral:rRNA from 1 species